rnacentral:rRNA from 1 species
UACGUAGGGGGCAAGCGUUGUCCGGAUUUACUGGGCGUAAAGUGUGCGCAGGCGGCCGAGCAAGUCGAGUGUGAAAGCCCCGAGCUUAACUUGGGAACUGCGCUCGAAACUACUUGGCUAGAGUGUGGCAGAGGGAGGUGGAAUUCCACGUGUAGCGGUGAAAUGCGUAGAGAUGUGGAGGAACACCGAUGGCGAAGGCAGCCUCCUGGGCCAACACUGACGCUCAUGCACGAAAGCGUGGGGAGCAAACAGG